rnacentral:rRNA from 1 species
AGCGAACGCUGGCGGCAGGCCUAACACAUGCAAGUCGAACGAAGCCUUCGGGCUUAGUGGCGGACGGGUGAGGAACACGUUGGAACGUACCUUUUGGUUCGGAACAACUCAGUGGAACUUGAGCUAAUACCGGAUGUGCCCUUAGGGGGAAAGAUUUAACGCCGAAAGAGCGGCCCGCGUUAGAGUAGCUAGUUGGUGAGGUAAAGGCUCACCAAGGCGACGAUCUAUAGAUGGUCUGAGAGGAUGAUCAGUCACACUGGGACUGAGACACGGCCCAGACUCCUACGGGAGGCAGCAGUGGGGAAUCUUGCGCAAUGGGCGAAAGCCUGACGCAGCCAUGCCGCGUGAAUGAUGAAGGUCUUAGGAUUGUAAAAUUCUUUUACCAGGGACGAUAAUGACGGUACCUGGAGAAAAAGCCCCGGCUAACUUCGUGCCAGCAGCCGCAGUAAUAC